rnacentral:lncRNA from 1 species
UCGUUAUUUUUUUGGUCUGAGGGUAAAUUAGUCAUCUUAAUGACUCUAUAUACCAAUCUUAGGUCGGGAUAGAAACAUGAGAUACCAAUCUAAUAUUUUUAAAACUUGAUAUACCAAAGUUUAUAAAGAGUAAAAGUUCGUAUACUAUUCAAACGAAUUUCACUAUUAAUAAAACCAAGUGAUCGAAUAUGAAAACAAAGAUGAACACGUUUUCAGUUUUCUUUUAAAAUGCAAAGGGGAGGAGUAAAAAUGGCCUAAACUUGCAAAAUAGUUAAUACAUGAGACUUUAAAAUGAUGAAAGUAAUACAAGAGACAUUUAAUACGUAUAAUGUGUUAUGUACGUUUUUGUGCGAAUAUGCCAUUAGGGGAAAGUCCCCGGUGAACUUGUAUUUAGCUUAGUAUUAUUUUUUGAUGACAUGUACUUAGCUCAUUAUUAGUUAUUUUGACACGACACACCCCGAAUUUCACCCUGAAACCCGGAGUAAGUCGUGCGGGGACCACCUCCAAGGAAAAUUUACUGAAAAGGUUGAUAAAAUCUCCCUUGAAAAUGGACAACCCUAACUCGAAAAUUCCAAAUUACACUCUUAAUACAACACGUCCAAACAUCACAUAAUUAUCCUUCAGAAAUUCUAAACAUAAUAUACAAUAAUCCCAAAGUAUUCAGAGCUACUAGACACUAGCGGAAGCAAGAAAACACGAGUAUGUUAAACAUGUAACCUACUGAUGAAAAUUGGCGGACAUGCGGGUGACUAUGCCUCGCCUCCUACUAGAUCCAACCCGAACUCUGCAGACUGGGCAAUUUAAAACGAAGGGCCUAGGGGAAAACAUUUAAUAACGUUAGAGUGAGUGGACAAAAAUAAAAUAAUAAAUAAAAUAUUUAUGUUUCCCCAAAUUAAUUUAUAAGGAAAAAUCGAAUGCAUGCCGCAAGCGAUAAAACUUUUAUCUCAUAAAAUAUCGAGCCUCUUAGACUCUAUAAUAUAUGUAUGUAUGUACACUCGUCCAUACUCCCUAUAUAAAUUCAUGGGUCUAUAUAGGGCUACUACGCUCGCGUCCAAGCCUCACGUCACGCCUUAANGCGUGCUACACUACGCCAUUAAGGU